CGCGUGGGAAUCUACCUAGUAGUGGGGGACAACAGUUGGAAACGACUGCUAAUACCGCAUACGCCCUACGGGGGAAAGGCCGGGAUCUUCGGACCGGUCGCUAUUGGAUGAGCCUGCGUAAGAUUAGCUUGUUGGUGGGGUAAUGGCCUACCAAGGCGACGAUCUUUAGCUGGUCUGAGAGGAUGAUCAGCCACACUGGAACUGAGACACGGUCCAGACUCCUACGGGAGGCAGCAGUGGGGAAUAUUGCACAAUGGGCGAAAGCCUGAUGCAGCCAUGCCGCGUGUGUGAAGAAGGCUC
rnacentral:rRNA from 1 species